rnacentral:rRNA from 1 species
AGACGUCUACAUUAGAUACCCCCGUAGUCCCAGCCGUAAACUAUGCGCGUUAGGUGUAUCGGUGACCACGAGUCACCGAGGUGCCGAAGGGAAACCGUGAAACGUGCCGCCUGGGAAGUACGGUCGCAAGGCUGAAACUUAAAGGAAUUGGCGGGGAGCACCACAACAGGUGGAGCCUGCGGUUUAAUUGGACUCAACGCCGGGAAGCUCACCGGAUAAGACAGCGGAAUGAUUGCCGGGCUGAAGACUCUGCAUGACUAGCUG